rnacentral:lncRNA from 1 species
GGUGUUCAUUCCAUAAAAAAAAAAACCAUUUCUUUGCACACUUCAAAUAUCACAGAAAACAGGAGAGACAAACCCCUGCCUUAGAAAGACAGAAGUGAACACACGGAAUGUGGCCUUGGAAGCAAGUAAAAGUUAUGAAGCACGUAGACCCUAAGGUAUGCAACUGGAUUGCCAGCUUGAGUUGUUUGCUAUGUGUCAUGAAUAUUAAAAGACGGAGGCUGAAG